CUUUAGCCCCGAUGGAAGGGAAAAUCCUUUAUGGAAGUCUUUUUUGACGACAUAAAGAUUUGGAAUGACAGCGGGAAACCAA
rnacentral:sRNA from 26 species